UACAGAGGUCUCAAGCGUUGUUCGGAUUCAUUGGGCGUAAAGGGCGCGUAGGCGGCCACCGCAAGUCGACUGUGAAAUCUCCGGGCUUAACCCGGAAAGGUCAGCCGAUACUGCGGGGCUAGAGUGCAGAAGGGGCAACUGGAAUUCUCGGUGUAGCGGUGAAAUGCGUAGAUAUCGAGAGGAACACGGUGGCGAAGGCGGCAUCCUGGACCGGCAUGACGCUGAGGAGCGAAAGCCAGGGG
rnacentral:rRNA from 1 species